UACCAAAACCCUAAACUCACUCUAAAAAAUUUUUAGCCGCAUCUCCUCUCUCGCUAAACUCCGACCACCUUCACAACUGGAGCCAUUGCCGACGACGCCUUCACAGCCACUGAAAUUUCCAAGCUGUCCGCACCACCACCGGUGACAACCAAGCUGUCCUCACCACUACCAGUAACAACUACAACAGUCGCCGACAACCAACCAGUCGUCCGCACCACCGCCAUCGCCGCCAACAAACACCCUCCUCCAGAAGGUUUGAUGUCUCAACCUACACCAGCUAUGUAGCUCUGGAGCGCAAGGAUUGCUUUUAAGAAUCACACCCUCUACUCGUAGGUGAGUUCCCAUCCUUGGGCUCACUCGAUAUUGAAUCCUACUCCCAUCUGAUUAGACACUGAAUUAAUUAUACUAAACUGACUGAACUGAGAUAACUAAGUUCCGUUAACUGACAGAAUAUUACUGAGAUUUGAUAACUGACUGAGAUUACUGAGUUUUCCUGAGUCAUGAGACUGACUGAAUUCUACUGAACAUGGCUUGCCUAAGAGUAUCUUGAAAACUGACACUGGCUCUAGGUACACAACUAAAUUAUCGGGUACAAUACCCCCAGGACUCGAUAGCAUGAAACUAACAAGACAUGACACUUCUUGACAGAUAACCAUAGUCAACAAUUCAUAGUACAAUCAUUGAGGAUUUUCAUGAAGUAUUCGCAUGCUAUAAGCUUACACGUGAAUAGGAAUGCAUGUAAACAUAUCAUAAUUUUAUAAGCCUAAUCUCAUGAGCAUUACGUUAAUCUAUUACAAAGCAUAACAAUAACGUGGGAGUCAUAUCAAACAUAAGGGAGAAACAUGGAUUCAUCAAUUUUGGUCACAAAUGAGUCAUAAGGCAAAAUUCCUAUUCCCUUAGGCAUUUUAUCAAACACCUUGCAUGCAUAUCUUUAGGCUUAGGCAUGAAUAUUGAAAUAAUACUUCAUGGCAAUAUUUUACACUUCCAAUGCAAGAAUUUCAACAAAUACUAACAUAUUUUCAUGAUAGUCAUUAAAGACUUCAACUUGGAAAUCAAACAACAACAUAAACAUGGAUAUAAUUUAAUUCAUACCAUGGAAUCCAAAGUUUAUAUUUCAAAUAGGGUUUCUUGAGCUUCAUGGGUGAAAGGAACCCAUGAAUCAAUACUUGACAUAUCUGAGUGGAUGAUUUCUUUAAGAUUGGUGGAGAAAAACUUGAAUUCUUGCCUUAGGAUUAGACACCUAGGGUUUCUUGUUCUUGGGGAUUGAUCUUUGAGAGAAACCCUAAUUUGGUGUUAUGGAUGAAUAAAGAAGGUAUGAGCUUUGGUAUGGUAUAAUUAGGGGUUAAAACAGGUGAAAAAAGACCCAAAUAGCCUUUUAAAAAUGGCUUAAAAUUAUUGAUCGAAAGUGGCGACGAUUUGAGCGACGGUCUAUCGCUGGAUCGACGGUUCGUUGGUCCUGACCGUCGCACUUAGCCAGAACCUAAACUUUCUGCCUCGUCUGCGAUGGUUUGGGCGACGGUUCAUCGCUAGCUCGACGGUCCAUCGGUCCUGACCAUCGUACUUGAACAGAAGUCGGGUUCACUGCCUUAGUCGCGACAGCUUGGGCGAUGGUCCAUCGGCCUGACCGUCGCUUCUGGGCAGUUCCGACAGUUCUCUGUAAAAUAUCCAUAACUUUUUACUCUGAUACCGAAUUUGGACGAAAUUGGUAUCGUUGGAAAGCUAAUUAAAUUUUUCACAUGAUAAAAAGUUAAAAUUGGAGAAAUUCUAUCUAUUUUAAACAUUAACCAUUUAUAAAUUCAUCACUAACUCUUUUGAAGAUUAAAUUUAACUUAAAGAAAGUUUGGGGUAUUACAAUAUCUCUCCCUUUGGAACAUUCGUCCUCGAAUGGGACUGACUAGACUGGGAAAGCUAAUAAACUGAUCUUACUUAAGGGACGUGAACAUUUGAACAUGUCUAUAUGACUGGAACUUCUGAUAUACUGAAAUUUCAUACUGAAUAUGCAUAUCUGAUGCAUAGAUAUAUGACGGAUAGUCUUCAUGAAUGCAUGGCUGAAAUUACUGAUCAGCUGAGUUUCUCGUGAUAAGAAUGCAUAUCUGAUGCAUGAAUACGUGACUAACAUGAUACAUGAACAUAUAACUGGAUAUGCAAUGGUAUUUGAUACCAAGUUUAUAACUGAAAUCUGAACAUAAAAUUGAAUAAGCUUAAGGAAAGCUAUUACCUUGGGUUGAGUCUGAGUUUAUGGAGAAGAGGUAAGAAUACUUAGUUCGCAUGUCUGCUUUUGCUUCCCAAAUAGCUCCCUCAACAGACUAAAUUAACAUAUUCUUAUGCAAAAUGAGUUUGAAAGAAAGACACAAGAAAUACUAGUUGCUCAAAGUGCAUCAAUUGUGGAAUGGGGGUGAGAAAGGAAUUGGACUUAUUGAUGAAGCAUGUAUACAAGAAAUCAUCUUUAAAUGAUGAACGCCCAUCUCAAGAAAACAACCAAGCUUAUGAGGAUGAAAGUGAUGAUGACUUUGACGACGUGAAUGAAAGUGAUUCUAAUCCUGAUAACGUGGAUGGAAGUGAUUUUGACCCUGAUAGUUGGUAGUUUUAUUGAGGAUUUAAGUUUGAAAUAUUUUAUUUUGGACCAUUGAAGACUCAUACAUUAUUAAUGAAAAUGUUAUGAAUUUUUUUUUUUUUUGUUAGCUAUAAUGGUUUACAUUAGACUUGUAUUAAAUAAUAUUUUUGAGAAUUAUUGGAGGUUUUAAAUAAAUUUUUGACCAAUUAUGAAAUAUUUUUAGUAAUUUACGUGUGGAUUAUUACUUGAAAAUUUUCAUGGGGAUGUACAUGCUAAAUAUUCAUGAAAAUUUUCUUGAGAAAAUUUGUUCUUGCGGAUUUACUUGGGGCAUUUCAUAUGAAUUUUCGUGCGAAAUAGUUUCAUAAAUAUCUGCAAGAAUUUUUUUUUAUUAAUUAGGAAUUUUUACCUCUAAACUUCCUUUGAAUUUACUUGGAAAUCUUCUUGGGGAAUAAUUUGUGAAUUUUUUCAUAGAAAUUCGCAGGUAAAAUCCCUUUGUAUGAAUUUUUACCAAAUAAUCCAUGUAAAAUUUUGAUAGUUAAUCGCAAAUAAAUCCGCAAACAACGUGCUUGCGGAUUUAUUUCCGUAGCUAAAUUACCUAGGGAUUUUAUAAAUCCGCAGUUAAUAAUUACCUACGAAGGUAUUUCCUUUGGAUUCUAAUUGGUAAGAAAAUCCUUAGGUAAUCAGAUUACUUGAGAUUUUACCACAUUAUCUCUAUGAAAAUCUCCAGGUAAUAAGCACUUUUCUUUAGUGAAUUAUCAUAAGGAAUGAUAAUGGAUUGAGGGUUUACAUUGAGUUGAAGAAAUAGUUUUUGGGGUUUGUUAAUUUUCCGCUGUGUAUACCCACUUUUGACAAAUUGAAUAAGGAUAUCGAGUUUGAUUGUAAAAUAGGGGCAGUACUGUGUAUUGAAGAUAGUGAAUCUAAUUUUGUUGCGUUAACGAUCAUUGAAACGCAAAAUUAGUAUUCAUUAUAUGUUCCAAAUUUGAAGUAAAAAACUUCAUUUAUAGUUGAAAGAACACCGAAAUAAAGGUUAACCAGCUUUAUAAGGAUAAGGAAACUCUGUUAUCAGUAAUGGCAAAAUAUGCGAUAUCAAAUGGCUUCAACACCUUUGCUAAACGAUCUAACAAACAAAGGUAUGAACCGAAAUAUUAUCUUUAUUUGUUAAUGGUUUAAUGUAUUUUUUUUGUAAUAGGUGUUUUGAACGAAUUGCUGUUUGGACGAUGUUAUCUAUUUGUUGAAAGAUGUAUUAAUAAUGUAUAAUAUGUACUUAUACAUUCGAACUAAUGUAUAAUGAGAUCGUAACAGGGCAAUUUCAGCAUUUUAAUUAAAAUCAUGAAUUUUAUAGCUAUAUUAAUACAUUGACUACCUGUUUAUAUUUGAUACAACUAUGUACUGCACUGUCGUAACAAAGACUGCAAAUGGGUCCUCGAGGCGUCUUGUAUGAAUCAUUCGAAAAUCUUUGUGAUAAAAAAAUUUGAUUCGAAACAUACAUGCAGUCUUAGUGAUAAAGUACUGAAUAACUUGGUUGCGACAACAAUUUUUGUGAGUAAAUUUACAGUACCAAAAUUAAUUAAUUACAAGAGAAUACACACACCCGUGGACAUAAUUAAAGAGAUGAAGGUUGUUUAUGGAGUUGAUAUUAACUACAUAAUGGCUUGGCACGUAAAAGAUAAAGCAAUUGCAAUGCUUAGAGGUGGACCAACUGAUGGAUAUCGAAAAACAUUCCGUUAUAUCUAUAAGCUGAACCAGGUGUAUCCUAAAUCUCACAUUCGGAUGCAUAAGGCAUUAGAUAAUGAGUUUAAAUACUUGUUUAUUGCCUUACAUCUCAUGAUAAGGGGUUUUGAAUUUUGCCGACCUGUCGUAGUUGUUGAUGGUUCUCAUUUAAGCUGUCCAUACAAAGGAAAAUUUGUAUCAGCAAGCACUCUUGAUGGUGCAGGUGUUAUUCAUUACUUUUAAACUUUUGUCUGUGAUUGUUAUGCAUUUUUUUAUGUAUUGAAAGUGAUUAUACAUUGAUGUUUUAUGUAUAAUAAGUUAUAGACUUGCAAAAACACUAACUAUAAUAUUGACCUACACAUAUUGUAUUGGAAUGUGUUUUUUUUUUUUUAAUUUAGGAUGUAUUCUGCCAUUAGCUUACGGUGUUGUAGAUGCAGAGAAUGACAAUGAGUGGACUUGAUUUUUUCAUUAAUUUAGUGAUAUAUUUGGGGAACGGGACAAUAUGUGUGUUGUAUCGGAUCGAAAUGAGAGUAUCAUAAAAGGUGUGAGCAUUGUUUAUCCUAAUAUCCCCCAUCUAGCAUGUAUUUGAAAUUUAUGAAAAAAUGUUUGCACAUAUUUUAGAAAAGGCAAAGAUAGACUUAGUGACCUUUAUUAUUCCCUGGCUAAAUCUUAUAGAAAAAAAGAUUUUGAUUACAUUAUGUCAAAGGUUGCUAAGGUUGAUCACAGGGUUAAGGAAUAUCUGGAAGAAGCUGGUUAUGAAAAAUGAUCUCGAUGUCACUCGCCUGUGAAUAGAGGUAGAAAGAUGACCUCUAAUAUGACCGAAUGUAUUAAAGAUUACUUGGUAGAGGCUAGAGAACUUCCUAUUCUAGGUUUCCUUGAAGAAGUUAGAAUUUUAUUUGCCGCAUGGAAUUGUAAGAACAAUAAAAUUGCAUCUUAUACCAACACAAUACUCGGGAGAAGAUUUCAAGAAAUUCUGACUCUUAAUGGGGCUAAGGCUUUGCGUAUGACGGUUAAGACAGCUGGUAGUUAUCUUUACCGUGUAUAUGAAUCGGGAAGGAGGUACAUUAUUGAUAUUGAUCAUGGCACGUGCAACUGUGGCCGGUAUCAAAUUGAUAAAAUACCCUGUCCACAUGCAAUUGUCGUGUUAAACAGUAAAAAUAUUUAUGUAAAAGAUUAUGGUCGUUACUGCUCAGAAUUAUACAGGCCAAACGCCAUUGUUAAGACGUAUGAACUCUCGAUAGUUCCAGUGCCAUACAUAAUGGAUUGGAAUGUUCCACAAUUUGUUGAUGAUGAAGAAGUUAUGCCACCCAAAUACAAAAGACCUCCGGGUAGGCCAAAGAAAGGAAGACAUUUGAAAUCUAGUGACUUACUUACUUCAAGUUCGAACUAUUGUGGUAAAUGCGGACGUGCAGGUCACAAUCGAAGGACGUACGAUUUCUUCCUAAAGGAAACGUGACGAAAAUAUUUCAUUUAUCUAUAUGUUGAUUUUUAGUUUGAUUUUGUUUGAAUAAUCAUUUUCCUUAGAUUAUGUUGACACUCUUGAAUAAUUUUGAAUUAUGUUUUAUAUUGUUAGUUGAAGUUUAAUUCUUAA